GACGAACGCUGGCGGCGUGCUUAACACAUGCAAGUCGAACGGUAAGGCCCUUCGGGGUACACGAGUGGCGAACGGGUGAGUAACACGCGGGUGAUCUGCUCUGCACUUCGGGAUAAGCCUGGGAAACUGGGUCUCAUACCGGAUAGGACUCCGGAAUGCAUGGCCUGGGGUGGCAAGCUUUUGCGGUGUGGGAUGGGCCCGCGGCCUGUCAGCUUGUUGGUGGGGGGAUGGCCUACCAAGGCGACGACGGGUAGCCGGCCUGAGAGGGUGACCGGCCACACUGGGACUGAGAUACGGCCCAGACUCCUACGGGAGGCAGCAGUGGGGAAUAUUGCACAAUGGGCGCAAGCCUGAUGCAGCGACGCCGCGUGAGGGAUGACGGCCUUCGGGUUGUAAACCUCUUUCAGCACCGACGAAGCGCAAGUGACGGUAGGUGCAGAAGAAGGACCGGCCAACUACGUGCCAGCAGCCGCAGUAA
rnacentral:rRNA from 1 species